rnacentral:rRNA from 1 species
GAUGAACGCUGGCGGCGUGCCUAAUACAUGCAAGUCGAGCGAACAGACGAGGAGCUUGCUCCUCUGACGUUAGCGGCGGACGGGUGAGUAACACGUGGAUAACCUACCUAUAAGACUGGGAUAACUUCGGGAAACCGGAGCUAAUACCGGAUAAUAUAUUGAACCGCAUGGUUCAAUAGUGAAAGACGGUUUUGCUGUCACUUAUAGCUGGAUCCGCGCCGCAUUAGCUAGUUGGUAAGGUAACGGCUUACCAAGGCGACGAUGCGUAGCCGACCUGAGAGGGUGAUCGGCCACACUGGAACUGAGACACGGUCCAGACUCCUACGGGAGGCAGCAGUAGGGAAUCUUCCGCAAUGGGCGAAAGCCUGACCGAGCAACGCCGCGUGAGUGAUGAAGGUCUUCGGAUCGUAAAACUCUGUUAUUAGGGAAGAACAAAUGUGUAAGUAACUAUGCACGUCUUGACGGUACCUAAUCAGAAAGCCACGGCUAACUACGUG